UCCACUCUCAUGCAAAUGAUGCAGUCAUCUCUUCAACACAAUAGUUUCACCAAAUCAGUGACAAAGUGGACAAAAGUAAAUACCCCUGAAUGAAUUGGCCCAAAGUUUCUAAAGAAAAAACAGAUGAAUGAGGAGAUAAUGCAAUUAAAUUGACUAUAUUGCCUACCCAAGCAAAUAUGAACAAUCUUUAAGAAAUGACUCUUCC